rnacentral:tmRNA from 1 species
GGGGAUGUCCUGGCUUCGACAGGAUAUGUUUAACCCAUGACUGCAGUGGUUUGGUAAACCUUAAUACUUCUAGGUUUGAUAAAAUGCAAACAAAAACAAAAACGAAUUUGAAAUGCCAGCAUUUAUGAUCAAUAAUGCAUCAGCUGGGGUUGCUUUAGCAGCUUAAUUAAUCUUUAAGAUUAAUAGCAUUCAACGUAUUGAAUUGUACUUGUGCUUCAAUUUAGAUACGUAUUACCUAGCACAAUAGAAAUUGUGAUUUUGAUAAUAAGCGAUUUUGAAAUUUAAUUAUCAACGCUAUGAAUUAAAUCUAGUUUCUUCUGUUGGUUUAUAGUGUAAGUUAGAAGAGACUAAACUGUAGACGUUAUGGGUCGGAGUAUUUUGGACGCGGGUUCGAUUCCCGCCAUCUCCACCA